rnacentral:lncRNA from 1 species
AAAAAUUAGCCAGAGUUCUCUAGGCAAGAGUCUGUAUGCAAGAGCUGUAUUCAGAAGGGGCCAGAACUGUGAUUAUUGUGUUACAUUACCGGGACAUUUCCAUGCUUCACCCAUUAGAGUAAGGAUGGAUGCAGUGAUGGGGCAGAGAGCAAUAAAGGACAAACUAGGGCAGAAGAUCAACCAGGAAUAUACUUUUUUGGAAAACAAGUCUCAGUGAACCGGUAAGAUCAGCCCCUAAUUUAGUAUUUCUUGUCAAAAUGUAGCACAAACUGGUAACAAGAAGCAAGCGUUUUAAUGAGAUCUCCAUUCUGCAAAUGAAUAUGCGUAAAAGUGUACAUAUUCUAUUUUGUAAAAUAGCUAAUAUUCCUAAAUAUUUUGAGGAUUGGAUGCUGCUAUAUGGAUGACACCGAUUAUCUAUUAAACUUAAAAUGUCGCUUUUCAUAUACUCUAACAGAAAUAUAAGAAGGCUGUUUACAGUAUUACAAAAAGUCUGUAAAAUCUGAUACUUUUCUCCCAACAGAGGCCAAUAAAGGAUUCCUCUGUGAGCAAAGCGUAAGAAAGAGCAUAAGAGGAGAAGCAUGGAGUUGUAUUUUCUAGCAUUCGGACAUUUACAAUUUGCUGAGCCAGAGGGUGUAUCCACAUGCUUGUAUUUAAUAAUUCCUGAUAGACUUGCCUGCGUGAAAUUAUUGAAUCAUUUUUUUGCCACGUGCAAUUUGAUAUUUAUCAUAAGCAGAGGCAAAGCUUAUUUAUGCAUUUACAGAAGUUCUUCUCUCUGCUGUUUUUUUUUCCCAGACUUCUUCCUGAUCACUUCCUUUGAGAUCCCCAUGUUCUUGCACAAAAAGCAGCCUCCUGUGAUGAAGACGAUUGGAAGAUCUAGCUUUGGCACCAUUUCCAAAGAGAAUUCCUGUGCUGCUCACCUUUCUUCCACGCUUAUUUGAGGAAACUAGAUACAGCUGAGCUUCUGACUGAUCUGUGGGACAUUUACAAACUGCCUCCCAAUCUGGUAUGUAACUCUGUAGUGUUUCCUUUUAUUUCUGGUCUUCCAGGAAAUUUGCUGUCUGAGUCAAACCAAACCAAAGAACACUGUAGAAAUGAGAAGAGAAGGAAAAGAAGAAGAAAAAGGAACAACUGCUCCCAGCGCUGCACAGGCUCCUGUUCAAGGAGUCAGAUAGCAGUCACAGCUACCACCUGCACUCUGACCCUGCCCUUCCAAGAUGUUGAAAGCAACCCCCAAAACACCUGGAAUGCCUGCUAGCAGCGGUGCCAGGGCCUCCUUUGAUGAAGCACUUCUUUACUUGCAGCCCCUG